UAUGUAUGGGUCAUAGUUUGGUUGAUAUAUUACAUAUAUUGCAUAUAGGAUAUGGGAUUUUAUUUGGGAUAGCACAACCUUAACAGCUGCUAGGUAUGUGGGUAAAGCGGGUGUAGGACAAAAUGUCAACGGUGUAAAUGCCAGUGUUCAAAAUGUCAACGGAUAAAAUGUCAGUGGAAAAAAAUUUCAACAUUCAAAAUCUCAACUAUUAAAGUGGUACCCAGGUCAAAUUGUUAACUUUCAGUAUACACAUAAUGUGUAUUAAAAACAAAAACAAACAACCUUACUCCUGUAUAGCCUUUAAUUUGGUCAAUUCAAAACACUGCUUGCAUACAUUUGAAAGCAAUACACGUGGAUAUGAUAUUCUCAAAAAGAGAACAACUUUGGUGAUGGAAUUUUGUUUUUAAAUACCAGAAUCUCAUUAUUUAAAUCAAAGACAGGCUGGGUGAUGGAAUUUUGUUUUUAAAUAGCAGUAUCUCAUUUUAAAAAAAAAAAUCAAAAACAGGCUGCGUAACGAGGCAUACCACCAAUGAAUGGAACAUCCUGUAAUUAUUGCAAAUUGUGUGAUGAGCAAGGAACUCAUUUUUUCCAAACCUUAUACAUACAUCUAUCUCCCUCCCUCUCUCUCUCUCUCUCUCUCUCUCUCUCUCUCUCUCUCUCUCUCUCUCUCUCUCUCUCUCUCUCUCUCUCUCUCUCUCUCUCUCUCUCUCUCUCUCUCUCUCUCUCUCUAAGCACUAGUAACACUAUACACCAAUUGUCCGUAAAGAUGAAGUCCAUGGUAAAUUAGUCACAUUUUUGCCGACAAUUUUACAAACUGUACCUUAAUGAUGCAUAAUUAUAAUUGAGUAUAAACACUAAAGCUGUAGCUGCUGUGGAGACCUGUACGUGUGUAUAAGCUAACCUUCAAACCGUAAAUUAUUAACAACGUUAUUAAAGAUAUCCAUCCCAUAGCAAACACAGCUUGUAUUCAAUUAGCCAGAUCCAAGGUGAAAUUAUCUACAGACUGCUUGGGGCCUGUCUAAGGUAUAUGGAAAAGCCCUAAUAAGGUUGGGCUGACGAUUUACAGUCAUAAACAGUAAAUACGUCUUCUUUAGCUUGAAGGGACUCAGUCGGUUAAGCACUCGUCGGGUGUGCUUACGUCGUACGAUCGAACCACCUCGGUGGAUCUAUUCAACUGACUGGGUUUUUCUUGUUCAACAUGGGUACAACAAGUGGUGAAAGGUCGUGUUAUGUGUUUUGCUGUUUGUGUGAAGGUACAUCUAUUUCUUUCCCAGCCAGUGCACCAUGACUGGUAUAUCAAAGGCCGUGGUAUGUGCUAUCAUACCUGUGGGAUGGUACGUAUAAAGGAUCCAUUGCUACUUCUUCUCUACGACUAUAUGUCAGAAUGACCAAAUGUUUGACAUCCAAUAGCCGAUGAUUAAAUAAUCAAUGUGCUCCAGUGACGUCAUUAAACAUAACAAACUUCUUCUUGCAGCCUGACUGCAGUGGACCGAGUCGGAAACGACGAUCAGCAGAAAUCUCUGAUGAAAGAGUGAGAAGGACGAUCAUCAUCCUGGACCCAGAAUUCAAAUCAACAAGAACGUCUGACUCUUCGAAGAACAAAACUGUUUCUGUGAAUGACGUCACAACCCCGAUAGUGGCUGGCGUUGCCAUAGUGAUCAUCCUGCUGCUUAUCGUCUGCAUUGUGGUCUUGUUGGUUGUCAAGAAGAGAAGGUCCAACCAGAAGUCACAAGACGAGGGCGUGAAUAAUCACACCAUUUAAUCAGCUUCUCCAGAUAAAUCACAAACACGUCUGAAUUUUUGAAGCAGAUAAAUGACGGAUCAGUGCUAGCUUAACCCUUAUUAUAAGGACUUUAUAAAAUAUUUCUUUGAUUUUGUUCAUUCAGUCAUUAUUCUCUUUCAAAACCUUGUAAGUCAAAUAUAUCUAAGUUUAAAGAAGAAAAACAAAAGAAGAAAUAUUUCACUGACAUUUAAAAAAUUCUCGAGUCAGAAUCAACUGAUUAAUUUUGAAAACAUGAUACCAGAACAUUUACAGACGACUGCGGCUGUUGAUUCUCGUGCUGAUCUUAAUACAGAGCACAUUGAUUUAUUGGAUGUCAAACAUUUGGUCAUUGAGAUGCAGUCAUAAAGAGGAAACCCUGUACAUUAUUCCAUUGAUACCAAGGCAUCUUUUAUAUGCACGGUCCCACAUACAGGAUAGCACAUGCCUUUGAUAUACCAGUCGUGGUGUACUGGCCUGAACGAGAAAUGGCCUAAUGGGCCCACCAACGGGGACCACUAUCUAGUACCUCGUCUAUAGGAGGACAGCCAUUCAUGAGAAGGUCCUUAAUGGACAUUUCAACCUGCUUGCACCAGCAGAAAGAGGACUGUCACUCUCAGAAUAGUUUACUGAAUCAACAUUGCAUUAAAUUUUGAUAAAAUACGCAAGCCAUUAAGUCCGUUUUCCUCGAACACUGUAGGGUGAUACAUUAGCAUGUAUGGUUCACAUGCGAUGUUUGAAUAAACAACUGGUACAGCAGUGGACAAAUGAAGGCUUGUAUUCGUAGCUGUUUCCUUCUCAUCGUUCUCACCAACUGCACGAGACCGAUAACAUCACCUACAACAUAGCCCCAUGAACCUGCUCAGUAUUUUAUUUCGAUUUCCUGAACAUUUUGACUUACAUGGUUUUCAAAUAACAGUAAUAUGUUUUAGUCCAGAAUUAUAAACGCCGCUUUUAAACUGAAUCGUAAUAAACAGAUGAGCAAUACAA